CCUACGGGGGGCUGCAGUGGGGAAUAUUGGACAAUGGACCAAAAGUCUGAUCCAGCAAUUCUGUGUGCACGAUGAAGUUUUUCGGAAUGUAAAGUGCUUUCAGUUGGGACGAAGAACGUGACGGUACCAACAGAAGAAGCGACGGCUAAAUACGUGCCAGCAGCCGCGGUAAUACGUAUGUCGCAAGCGUUAUCCGGAUUUAUUGGGCGUAAAGCGCGUCUAGGCGGUUUGGUAAGUCUGAUGUGAAAAUGCGGGGCUCAACCCCGUAUUGCGUUGGAAACUGCCAAACUAGAGUACUGGAGAGGUGGGCGGAACUACAAGUGUAGAGGUGAAAUUCGUAGAUAUUUGUAGGAAUGCCGAUGGAGAAGUCAGCCCACUGGACAGAUACUGACGCUGAAGCGCGAAAGCGUGGGUAGCAAACAGGAUUAGAUACCCCAGUAGUC
rnacentral:rRNA from 1 species